UGGAUUGAGAGCUUGCUCUCAAGAAGUUAGCGGCGGACGGGUGAGUAACACGUGGGUAACCUGCCCAUAAGACUGGGAUAACUCCGGGAAACCGGGGCUAAUACCGGAUAAYAUUUUGAACUGCAUGGUUCGAAAUUGAAAGGCGGCUUCGGCUGUCACUUAUGGAUGGACCCGCGUCGCAUUAGCUAGUUGGUGAGGUAACGGCUCACCAAGGCAACGAUGCGUAGCCGACCUGAGAGGGUGAUCGGCCACACUGGGACUGAGACACGGCCCAGACUCCUACGGGAGGCAGCAGUAGGGAAUCUUCCGCAAUGGACGAAAGUCUGACGGAGCAACGCCGCGUGAGUGAUGAAGGCUUUCGGGUCGUAAAACUCUGUUGUUAGGGAAGAACAAGUGCUAGUUGAAUAAGCUGGCACCUUGACGGUACCUAACCAGAAAGCCACGGCUAACUACGUGCCAGCAGCCGCGGUAAUACGUAGGUGGCAAGCGUUAUCCGGAAUUAUUGGGCGUAAAGCGCGCG
rnacentral:rRNA from 2 species